UACGUAGGGUGCGAGCGUUGUCCGGAAUUAUUGGGCGUAAAGGGCUCGUAGGCGGUUUGUCGCGUCAGGCGUGAAAACUCGGGGCUUAACACCGGGCCUGCUUCUGAUACGGGCAGACUAGAGGAUGCAGGGGAGAACGGAAUUCCUGGUGUAGCGGUGAAAUGCGCAGAUAUCAGGAGGAACACCGGUGGCGAAGGCGGUUCGCUGGGCAUUACCUGACGCUGAGGAGCGAAAGUGUGGGGAGCGAACAGG
rnacentral:rRNA from 1 species